GAUGAAGAACGUAGCGAAAUGCGAUAAGUAAUGUGAAUUGCAGAAUUCAGUGAAUCAUCGAAUGUUUGAACGCACAUUGCGCCCGCCAGUAUUCUGGCGGGCAUGCCUGUUCGAGCGUCAUUUCAACCAUCAAGCCCCAGGCUUGUGUUGGGGACCUGCGGCUGCCGCAGGCCCUGAAAACCAGUGGCGGGCUCGCUGUCACACCGGGCGUAGUAGAUUUUAUCUCGCUCAGGGCGUGCUGCGGGUCCCGGCCGUUAAAAGCCUUUUUUUACCCAAGGUUGACCUCGGAUCAGGUAGGAAGACCCGCUGAACUUAAGCAUAUCAAUAAGCGGAGGA
rnacentral:misc_RNA from 1 species